AUUUUAUGUUUAUUCAGGAAACUAACAGCGCUUAUAAAACAUAUGUGACUUAAGAUAAUUAAUAGUAUACAAGGCCAAUAACAAGUUCCCACAUUAUUAACUAAUAACAAGUUGUAAACGAAACAAAACAAAGUUAUACAUUUUAAAUUCUGACUAACAAAGUGACAAAAUACCAUUCAUAAUAAUGUUGCCAGUAUA